AAUCAACGCUGGCGGCGUGCCUCAGACAUGCAAGUCGAACGCGAAAGUUUCCUUCGGGGAACAAGUAGAGUGGCGCACGGGUGAGUAACACGUAGGUAACCUACCUUUGGAUGGGGAAUAACAAUCGGAAACGAUUGCUAAUACCGCAUAAUGCAGCGGCACCUAAUGGUGACAGUUGUUAAAGCGGGGAUCGAAAGACCUCGCGUCUGAAGAGGAGCCUGCGGCGGAUUAGCAGGUUGGUAAGGUAACGGCUUACCAAGGCUACGACCGUAACCGGCCUGAGAGGGCGGUCGGGUCACACUGACACUGACAUACGGGUCAGACUCCUACGGGAGGCAGCAGUCGGGAAUUUUGGGC
rnacentral:rRNA from 1 species